UAUACUGAUUUCCAUUUAGACACUUUGCAUUGGCAGCACAUGCUUCAGUUGUCUGGGAGUUUUUAAUAGUUCAGUGAGUUUGAAGACUGAAGACUGAGAACUUCUUCAUCCAGAAUCUAAAUCCACAGCAAUCAUGACUGUCAUCACCAUCUUCAUCUGGAUGUUAACUAGCUACUGUUUUAGAGAAUCAAGAGGUUCAGUGACAGUCACUCAAACACCUGCAGUGAAAUCUGUUCAUCUUGGAGACACAUUUACUAUCACCUGUAAUACCAGCCCUGAAGUCUAUCAGGCGAACUUGAUUAAGAGGCGUAAUCAGCCUCUUGCCUGGUAUCAGCAGAAACCUGGAGAAGCUCCUAAACUCCUCAUAUAUGCUGCAACAACCCUCAACACUGGAACUCCAUCUAGAUUCAGUGGCAGUGGAUCUAAUAGUGAUUUCACUCUGACCAUCAGUGGAGUCCAGACUGAAGAUGCAGGACAUUAUUACUGUCAGAGUUAUCACUGGAUCAACAGUAAAGAUGUGUUCACACAGUGAUAAAGAGUCGUAUAAAAACCUCUGUCAGUCAGACUGCACUGAUACACUGACAGAUACUGAAGCUGCUCAUACAAACGCUAACACACACACACACACACACACACACACACACACCAGUGGAGUAAAAUGAUUUUUUUAUUAUUAUUAUUAUUCAUACAAGUAAAUCGUUUUUGAUGAGAUUAUGAUUUUUCAUGUCAUUUAUCUUCCACUGUCACCUCCAAUUCUUCAUCAGAUUAAAGUUUUCAGACAGUUUGUUAUAAAAUACAAAGCAAACAACCUCGAAACAGACGAAUCCCUCCAUUCAGCAGAAGUGAAACUGGUGUGUUCCAGUUCAGAUCAUUUAACCAAUCAAACAGUGAAUCUAAGAGUGUGAGGUGAAAAUCACAUUUGCAUUGUCAGUGUGGAAUGAUUCUGUUUCUCUCAGAAUAGAUCAGAUCUCUCUCCAGUGACCAUGUUCAAACCACAAGAGGAUUCAUUUAGUUUUAUCAGUAAAUGCAUCUUUUCAGAACUGUUCAAACAGUGAAGACAUUGUAAACACCUAAAUCUCUCCCAAAGGACUUUCAUGAAACAUAAUACAUUCAGUUUUCUCUCUUAGUAUAAAGUCAGAUUGAUUAAUGAUGCACUUUAAGUCAAAUGUAACUUGUUCAGAAGCUUUAUUGAAUGUAACACAAACACAACACAUUGAAAGAUCACACAGUGAAUCGACACUCUUUCAGUAUUCAGUUGUAAAUCACUGGAGCUGUGAGACACUCAGAUACGGCUCAUCUUCAGGAGAAACAUCAUCAUUCAAUGCCCUUAACAGCGACUCUUGUGGAACGAGACCUGAUGAAGAUCACCAUCACGAGUUACUCUGCAGACGAACACCUCUGCCUCUUCCCAGCAUGCUUUGCUGAGGGUCAGGAAACUAUUCCUCCUGCAGCGGUCGUCCUGUUCACUCUCUGCACUGGUCAGACUCCCCUCUGUGACCUCUGACCCAUCCAGUGUUCAGCUCAGCAGCACCCCCUCUGGAGAGUAUGAGCUGAGCAGACAGAGCAGGGCGGCUGAGUCUCCAGAGAUCUGUGUGCAUAUUCUCUGACUGAUGUGUCCACUGCCCUUUGAGAUGACCUCUGACCUUUCCCAUCAUAGAUACUUUAUUGAUGUUGGCUCAGCUGUCAUGAUUAUUUAUUAUCAAUUAAAACAGUGGCUUCAGAAUGAUGAAUCAUUUCACAUUGAGAUUCACACUUCUUAAUUUAGACUCAUAUGACUAAAGACUGAAGAUUAAAAGAAGUUUACCUGUAUGUGGACCUACAAUAUGACAAUGACACAAAAACACUUAGAAGGUGAUGAAAUGAUUCACGUCAAAUUCCAGAUGUAAACCUCAUAGAAAUGCAGUAGAGGGACUAAACACAGACAGAACAAACAAGAAACCCCUCAAACAUCUUACAGCUGAUGGAGAUCUGUGAGGAGGAAUGAACAAAAUCUCCUCAAGUGACAUUGGGUGAAUUAUUGACUUCUCUGCAGUAAUCUUGAUUUCUGCUGCACAUUUUCCAGAACUGUCGAAGUGUUUUUCACUCAUUGAGUUUAAUGACACAGAAUUACAGUGAAUAUUAGACUGACAGCAGUAUAAACUAUUGAAGAUCCUUUGCAUGUCUUUACAUAAUCAGCACAUGCUUCAGUGAUCUGAGAGUGUUUAUAGUGCUGUGAGUUUAACACUUCAUCACUGAGAACACAACACAAUCUUCAUCAACACACAACAACAAUGACCUUCAUCAUCAUCUUCAUCUGGAAACUCACAGUGUUUGGUCAAA